rnacentral:lncRNA from 1 species
GUCAAAUUAGGGCUGGAAUCCACUGGUUUGACCAACUGGUAGGAACAAGGUAGCACUUUACAUUAAGGAAAGCUGAAGUCUCUUGUAGUACUUCCCUGAGUUCUUUGGCUCAAUAUUCAAGACAGCAAGGAGCUUUGCCCCCACCAUUUCAUGAUAAACAAGUCAGGACCAGAAAUAUUUUCAAAUUCCGUCAGAGCAGUGCCUCUCUGAUAAGAUCUGAGCAAGGAGAAGCAACGAGAUCAAGGAACUAAGGCAUGAAAUAAGGAGCAGGAAGGUACUGCUGAGUCCUGUGAUGCGUGGGAGCACCUCCAACAGCAGAUGCUCAGCUGCAGGGUGUUUGUGUUAUCCCAGGCAUGUGCAACCUGACGGCCCGCUCAGCUUGCAAUGCGGUCGCCCUCCACCCUGCACUAUAAAGAG